rnacentral:rRNA from 1 species
UAAAACCAGCACCUCAAGUGGUCAGGAUGAUUAUUGGGCCUAAAGCAUCCGUAGCCUGUUCUGUAAGUUUUCGGUUAAAUCUAUGCGCUCAACGUAUAGGCUGCCGAAAAUACUGCAGAACUAGGGAGUGGGAGAGGUAGACGGUACUCGGUAGGAAGGGGUAAAAUCCUUUGAUCUAUCGAUGACCACCUGUGGCGAAGGCGGUCUACCAGAACACGUUCGACGGUGAGGGAUGAAAGCUGGGGGAGCAAACCGGAUUAGAUACCCGGGUAGUCCCAGCUGUAAACGAUGCAAACUCGAUGAUGCGUUGGCUUAUUGCUAGCGCAGUGUCGCAGGGAAGCCGUUAAGUUUGCCGCCUGGGAAGUACGUACGCAAGUAUG